rnacentral:rRNA from 1 species
CCGCCGGCGACCGGCGCACGGGUGAGUAACACGUAUGCAACCUGGCCGUGACAGAUGGAUAACCGGGAGAAAUCCCGCCUAAUACAACAUAAUGCCGGGAGGGGACAUCCCCUGCCGGCCAAAGGGGGCGACCCCGGUCACGGAUGGGCAUGCGGCGCAUUAGGUAGUUGGUGGGGCAACGGCCCACCAAGCCGACGAUGCGUAGGGGUUCCGAGAGGAAGGUCCCCCACAUUGGAACUGAGACACGGUCCAAACUCCUACGGAAGGCAGCAG